CGGGUGCACUGAUCCGGCCGGGCCUUUCCCUCUGUGGAACCCCAUGGCCUUCACUGGCUGUGCGGGGGAAACAGGACUUUUACUGUGAAAAAAUUAGAGUGCUCCAGGCAGGCCUAUGCUCGAAUACAUUAGCAUGGAAUAAUAGAAUAGGACGCGUGGUUCUAUUUUGUUGGUUUCUAGGACCGCCGUAAUGAUUAAUAGGGACAGUCGGGGGCAUCAGUAUUCAAUUGUCAGAGGUGAAAUUCUUGGAUCUAUUGAAGACUAACUACUGCGAAAGCAUUUGCCAAGGAUGUUUUCAUUGAUAAGGAACGAAAGUUAGGGGAUCGAAGACGAUCAGAUACCGUCGUAGUCUUAACUAUAAACUAUGCCGACUAGGGAUCGGACGAUGUUAUUUCUUGACGCGUUCGGCACCUUUCGAGAAAUCAAAGUGCUUGGGCUCCAGGGGGAGUAUGGUCGCAAGGCUGAAACUUAAAGAAAUUGACGGAAGGGCACCACCAGGGGUGGAACCUGCGGCUUAAUUUGACUCAACACGGGGAAACUCACCAGGUCCAGACACAGUGAGGAUUGACAGAUUGAGAGCCCUUUCUUGAUUCUGUGGGUGGUGGUGCAUGGCCGUUCUUAGUUGGUGGAGUGAUUUGUCUGCUUAAUUGCGAUAACGAACGAGACCUUAACCUGCUAAAUAGCCCGUACUGCUCUGGCAGUUCGCCGGCUUCUUAGAGGGACUAUCGG
rnacentral:rRNA from 1 species